CCCCUUGCAGCCCGCGCCCAGACCCCCUAUAUCUAAUGCGUCGGGCUUGCUCGACUAUGGACAUAAACGCGCUCGUAAUACACGGAUCGGACCAGGGGGCGGUACCCUGCGUCUCCACCAAUCACUCCUGUAUCAACUCUCAUUUGGGGUAUGGUCUAGGGCACAUGGGGACGAAAUAGGAUCGACGGACGUCUAAAGGGGUUAGCUUUGUUUCGGUGAGUUACCACCGUUAUCGGUACAAACUGAGUAGUUGCAAAUGACAACAAAGCUCCAAUGGCUCUCGCAGCGUAAGCUGUGCGAAACAUUGAAAUCUUAAGCCCUGUCGCCUAGCAGCGUCAGGCGGGGUUCGCAGGUACCUGGCAACAGAAACCUGCACU
rnacentral:tmRNA from 1 species